rnacentral:snoRNA from 1 species
UGGACCAAUGAUGACAGUGUGCUAUGUACUAAGGAUGUGAUUAAUCCAAUUCUGUGCACCUGAUGUAUAAA